rnacentral:lncRNA from 1 species
GGGCGUUUCGGUGCGCAUAGGCGCGAAAACGGAGCCGAAAGGCCAUGUUGGGCCGUGAGCUAAAUCCGGCAUUAGCGAGGAUGGAAAGAUGAUGAAAACAUGUUUGAAAACAUGUUUGGAGAGUCUCGGUUCGAUUUGAGACGAAUCGGAGGUCAAACGAACGAAAACGGGCGAAAACGGAGUGAAAACGGACGAAGCUGAAAAUUGGCUAAGUCUGGGCUGGAGGUCUCUCUGGGA